AUUGUGUGCCGCGUUCGUUGUCAUAAUUUUAUUAUACGAAUAAAUGUUUUAAAAUGUCUGAGUUCAUUUAACAUCAAUAUAUUUAAAUAAUCGUUAGAGUUUGAUGAUCAAUAAGCGAUAGUUAUUUUAUUUAUUUACUGUAUGUUUAUAGUUAAAGUUAACCAAUUUGUGAGAGUGCUCGAGUCAGGCGGGUAGCAGUAAAAUGGCGGCAAAAGUUCCAGGAAAAAAAUGCUGAAGAAAUUCAUAAAAUAUACCGAUGUCACGGAAAAAGAUUCUGAGACAUCCGACAAAUGUGGCCGCCGAGAGGGAAAUUCAAAUUUGAAAAGAUUGUCAUCAGCGCCGGAGCUCACAAAAGUUUCCGUUGGGUUCUAAAGUCUACUGAUCGAGUUCACUUUGCAGAAGAAUUUAUUCAAUUACAUAUUUAUUGAAGAUAAUAAUAAUAAUUAAGUGAGUGAGGUACUUGUGAUCGUGUGGUAAUCAAGAAGUAAUCGAGUUUGUUUGUGAAGAGAGUUGAUCUUGAAGCUGAAAAUUUAUAAUUACGUCCGCCGAGAAACAGAAAGAAUUGUCUGCUGGUCUGGAAGUUUCUCGUCGUGGUGAGUGAACUUAAUUUACUAUUUUUACAAUAAAAUAAUUUCAUUAAUCCAACGAUAUUGUUAAAUUCUCUUAUGCUAAGGUCCAAGUACUUCGU